rnacentral:misc_RNA from 1 species
UUGUGGAGGAGGACGCCGAAGGUGGGGCUGAUGACUGGGGUGAAGUCGUAACAAGGUAGCCGUACCGGAAGGUGCGGCUGGAUCACCUCCUAACAGGGAGACAACAACUGAUCGUGAUGUCUGAGUUAAUUUAUUCUUAGGCCAUGAUCCUGUUACCUUAGGUCGAUCGGUACCUCAAGUUGAUGAAACUAAGGACUUAAGAAGUUUCUUAUUUUCUUGAUUUCAGUUCCUAAACUUUGUCUAGGUCACACCCAGCAAGGGUACUCCUGGGCCAUUGGCUCAGGUGGUUAGAGCGCACCCCUGAUAAGGGUGAGGUCCCUGGUUCAAGUCCAGGAUGGCCCAUUCGUGUUGGGGGUAUAGCUCAGUUGGUAGAGCGCCUGCUUUGCAAGCAGGAUGUCAGCGGUUCGAGUCCGCUUACCUCCACUGAUCACACUCCUAAUGGCGAUUUUAAGGAGAUUCUUUUGUUUUUGUGAUUUAGACUUUAUUGUCACUGAAUCAAUGAACCUAGCUUCCUAUCAUUCUAGAUCUAAUUAUUAAAUUAAAUCAGGUUGACAGGACGCUGGGCUCACUUUAAAUCUUUUGAUUUAAGUGAUUUCAGUAGAACCUUGACAACUGCAUAGGUGAGUCUGGAAAGAAUAAAGCAUCUCAUGGAUACAUUAUUCUUAUUAAUUUCGUGCAAUUUUCUUAAGAAGAUUGAUUUCGAAAGUUGAUAAGAUUAAUGUUUAAUUCUUGAGCAAGAGCCGAGACUCUAUAGUUAUUUUUAAUACUAGAAAUAGUAUUAAAAAUAGAGUUUUUUAAUUAAUUAACUCUAAUAAUUUUAAUUAGCUAUAGAGAUUAUUGGUCAAGCUACAA